GGGCCAGCUGCCACUAGCACUGACGGGAUAUGCACUUAUAGCAUCAGCUGCAGCAAAGUCAGAAAGCGUUGCUCAUUUCAGAUUUUUCGCUUUGUCGUUUUUCUCUUUUUCUCUUUUUCUUUUCUCUUUUGCAUUUAAUAUGCUUGAGUAUUUGUUUCGCUGGGAUCAAAUGAAGGGAAGUUGUUAAAAACAAAAGGUUUUAUGUUUUUCAUUUUGCAACCCUGCACCUUCUUUGUCAGCCCAGAAUUUAAUGUAAACUUUAUUACUAGCGUUGGAGCUACUUUUAUUUUUGCUAUUUUCAAAUUUGUUAAAGUUUGUUGUUGGUUUACUUAUAUUUUGGGGUUAGAGGUUUUUUGUAGUUUAAUACGUGCUUCAUUUUUUGUUUUGUUGUUUGUUGUUUACCUUGUUAAGUCAGGAAGAACUGUUGGGCCAUUUUAUAUAGGGCUUUGGAGUUGACGUCACGCCGCAAUGCAUUGUGGGAGCGCAGCGCCAUUUUCGGGGUCUACGAAUCAAAAAAACACACUGUGUUGGAACGACGACUACAAGAAAGAUGCUUAAAAGCAGCUCAAAAGAGAGUGAACUGUAUAGAGACCGAUUGCGUCCAGAGGCGAAGCAGCGGUACUUGCAGAAAAUAGCGUGCAUUGGAAAUGUGGACCCGUAUGAAAUACAGCCGUGGAGUAGAAACCCCGAACACCUAGCGCUACUGACGUAACCUGACAUAUUUUCGUACCUUGUCUGUGGAGUCAGCGCGUACAAGUCGUCAUUCAAACAAAGGUACUGCACUCUCAAAGACUGAAUGAACCAGCAUUGCAGCCAUGGGUCACUGUGAGCAUCACAGGGAAGGUUGAAGUCGCCCACUGCAGCUGUAUGGCCGGAGUCGCAGAGAACUGCAGCCAUGUCGCUGCUCUUCUGUUUAAAGUAGAAGCAACAGUCGUGGCACAAGGACUGUUACAGAUGAACCUGCUUACUGGGUUUUGCUGGGUAAUGUGACCAAGAUACAGCCAGAGGUUGGCCAUAAGAUAGACUUCUCCUCUUCAGCUGCCCAAAAAAAGGCUCUUGAUCAAAACAUAAACAGACCAUCCGUAGUGACAAGUAAAAGAAGCCGUCCUCAAAAAAGUAAAAUCCCACCUGCUACUGUGGAGGAGUCUAGAUGUAUGCCUGUAGUGCACUGCCGUGUAAAUAAUUUGCAUUUACUGAAUAUGUACUGACUGAGUCCCACUGUUCAAAAGUUGAAUAAAGAAACAAACUCAUUUUUGCCUCUUUUUAUUUUAUUUUAUUAAAACCACCUUAUAGAGCAU
ensembl:lncRNA